UUAACAUUGGCCUUGUGAAUUUAGGUCGUUUUCCAAUCAUUGUUAUGACAUGCGCAGACGAGGUGAACGAGGACGUGUUGCAUCGCCGCUGGUCUCAGUUCCAGGCCCUUCAUUGCUCGCGGAUUUUUGCCAUAAAGAACUACAACAUACGCGACAGCACCCCCCGGAUGGAAACUGACACAACAGUUGUUGAUAUACUUUAUAACUGCUGUAUAAUUUCGGAUCAAGUGUUUUUACAGAGUAUGGAGGAGUCGUCAUGUGCGU